rnacentral:rRNA from 1 species
GACGAACGCUGGCGGCGUGCUUAACACAUGCAAGUCGAACGGAAAGGCCCUGCUUUUGUGGGGUGCUCGAGUGGCGAACGGGUGAGUAACACGUGAGUAACCUGCCCUUGACUUUGGGAUAACUUCAGGAAACUGGGGCUAAUACCGGAUAGGAGCUCCUGCUGCAUGGUGGGGGUUGGAAAGUUUCGGCGGUUGGGGAUGGACUCGCGGCUUAUCAGCUUGUUGGUGGGGUAGUGGCUUACCAAGGCUUUGACGGGUAGCCGGCCUGAGAGGGUGACCGGCCACAUUGGGACUGAGAUGCGGCCCAGACUCCUACGGGAGGCAGCAGUGGGGAAUAUUGCACAAUGGGCGAAAGCCUGAUGCAGCAACGCCGCGUGCGGGAUGACGGCCUUCGGGUUGUAAACCGCUUUCGCCUGUGACGAAGCGUGAGUGACGGUAAUGGGUAAAGAAGCACCGGCUAACUACGUG